UGGGGGUCAUCCAGGGCCAGGCGCCACCUGUGAGGCGCGUUGCUCAGCCCCGGACAGACGCGGGCGCCGCGCCAGGGGAGAAGCCGGGGACUCGGGCGCGGCCCCUUUAAGGCUGCGCCUGCCCGCUGGGGGCGAUGAGGAGCUGGAAGCGGCCGAGGAGCCAGGCGCAGCCUGACAGCCCCAGAAUGGAUCCCAGCAUGGAGCUGACACAGCAGCCUGUGCCAGCUUUGCCCAUCCAAAUACACACCACUGCCAUCAGACCAGGGCUGGCUGGCUUCCCCUGAGAUGAUCUGAAGAGGAGCUGGAGAAGGAAGAGCUUGUUUAAGAUGACACGAACCGACCCACCUGACAUACUGGUGUCUACAGUGUAUCAAGACCUAGAGGUGAAGUGCCCAGCACCCAGGGAUCCCAUCGUCUGCCAGCCACUGACACAAUGUGACGCCUUAAUGUCGGCGUCUCUGCCGCGCGACCCGCAGCCCUUCAACAAGCGCCACUGUAGGAGCUUUGACUUUCUUGAGUUGCUCGACGACCAGCUGGCCCCUGCUCCUGCUAUGGAGCGCCACUGCCGGCACCCGGGCACCCCCGAGCCUUCCUCAGGCUCCGGAGGCAGGAAGGCUCCUCCCAGGCCGGACGUUCAGAACACCAGGCCACCCCCUCAUGGCAGGGAAGGCCCCAAGGAGCCAUUGGCUCGGGCGGAGCCAAAGAGGCGAGCGAGGUCCAAGAGCGCCCCUCGGGUGAAAUCCACCUUCACUCCCAUUCCCAUCCAGAUGUCGUCCUCGUCUCCCCCCAUGCCGGCCAGGCGGGGACGGGAGGCUCUGCGCCUCUCCAGGGAGCCUGCGAGGACGGAGACGUCCCCGCGCAGGGGGAGCGGAUACGCACCAAUGAAGGCCCCAAUGAACGAGGUGCACCCCAUCAAGCUGCAGCCCCAGCGGAGCAGCACCAGCCGCAUCUCCCCACUAUGUGUCAGCAGCAACUGCCCGGAGGAGGCCCCAGGUGGGAGGCCGGCCACAAGCCUGCAUGUCAAGUGCCGGAUGGACAUGAAGCCAGACGAGGCGGUGCUGGUGCACGCGGCACACAGCCUGAAGGCCCAGAGCAGGAUGGAGGUGCCAUCCUGGCCGAGGCCGCCUGGCGCUAUCCGGAGCCUGACCAUCCCAAGCAGCAGGCAGGUGUCCGUGUCCCGCACUCCCACACCCAGCGAUUCCUACAGCGGGGAGCACAGGCUGCCCUACCCCAACGAGUACUACGAAGGUGACCCCCGAGGCCAGGUUUACCAGGCCGUGCCCUCCCCGCAGGACUAUCCCGAGAGGGGCUGUGUGACCUUCUCCGCUCCUAACGUGCCCACCAAGUUCUUCUACACAGAGGAGCCAGCCGGGUGCCCUGGCCUCGGCAUUCCACUGAAAAGCUCUGGCUACGAGGCGUGUCCUCGCCCAUACCCAGGGCGCCACCUCCCUCCACAGCCCUUCUACCCGGAGGACCCAGCCAAAGGUAAUAUCCACACCAUCCCACCCAGGACUUUCUACGUGGAAGAAGCUCGGACCUACCCCAUCCAGGAAGCCCCUGCCCGCACCUUCUACAGAGAAGACCCUCGAUUCUACACCUCCAGGGGCAUGCCCACCAAACCCCUCUAUGCAGAGGACCCCAGGAUGUACCCUGCUCUGAACACCUCCUCCCGGUUGUUCUACACUGAGGAUUAUGGCAAAUACCAUGAGAGGGAAUCCAUUUCGCGGACGUACCCUCAUGCCCGUAGCACCCAGCCUUUGCAGUUCAGCGACUGGUACUGCCCGGACCGGGGUGCACUGCCCUACCAGACCUUGCAGAUGUCCCGCUUUGCACCUCAUCCCUCUGGGCAGGAGGCCUUGCUUUCCUCUUGGCAUGCCAGCUACAGCGCCAACCAGCCCCGCCUAGGCACAGACACCCGGCAUUACUCCAAAUCCUGGGACAACAUCCUGGCGCCCAGUGUCCGCAGGGAGGACCCCAUGUUCCGCGGGCGCAGCUAUGAGAACCUGCUCGCCCGGGAGCAGCACCGUGCCUUAUCCCCUGACGACCGGCGGCAGCCCGUGGUGAUCAAUCUGUCCAGUUCCCCCAAGCGCUAUGCCGCGCUCUCCCUCUCGGAGAACUCCAUCAUGGAGAAGAUGCACGCAGACGGUGGGCGGUGCCCCCUGGGCCGCUCCUGGUUUGUCACCCCAGAAAUCACCAUCACCGACAAUGACAUCAAAGCCAAUGGGCUGAGCAAGAGCGAGAAGCGCUCGGCCAGCUGGGAUAUGCUGGAUGCCGGGCGGGAUGGGCAUCGCUCCCGCGCCGCACACUGCUACUUGGAUCCUACUGCCAAAGAGACCAUCCAAAGCAGCUCCGCCCGCCAGCGCAGCCUGGAGCAGCUGGACGAGCUGAUCACAGACCUGGUCAUCGACUCCAAGCCCCCGCCCAGCCGCCGCCCCAGCAACGGGGACAGCCUGACAGACCAGCUCAAGAGGCUGAUCGACAGUGACGCGCCCGGGCCUGCCAGGAAGCUGGAGGCCAGGAAGCCGCUGCCUUUAUUGGUGGGUGGUCCCAGGCCCACCAAGGAGCAGCCGGGCCCGAGUUCCUUCCACAGAGACGUACGCAGGGAGCAGGGUGGCCGCUCGCUUGCCAUGUCUGCCUCCAGCAGCAGCUUUGAGAAGCAGCAGGAUGGCUGCUCCCCGGAGCUGAGCGCGGACGAGGACGACAUGAUGAUGUGUUCGAAUGCCAAGUGCAAGCGCACGGAGACCAUGUUCAAUGCCUGCCUCUACUUCAAGUCCUGCCACAGCUGCUAUACAUACUACUGCUCCCGGAGCUGCCGCCGCGAGGACUGGGACACGCACAAGGAGAGCUGCGUCUAUGGGCGUAUCGGGAGCAUCUGCCGGCACGUGCUGCAGUUCUGCCGGGAGAAUGCCGAGGUGCACAAGGCCUUCUCGCGCAUUGCCAAGGUGGGGUACCUUUCCCGGGGGCGAGGGGUGCUGUUCCUGGGCUUCCCCAGCUCAGGCUCAGCCGAGAACUUCCUCCAGUUUGGCUUGGAGAGCCUGCUGAUGUCUCCCACCUACCUGUCCCUGCGGGAGCUGGAGGGCUACGCGGAGAGCCUGGGGGAUUAUGCCCGGGAGUUGGGGGUGUCUGGCAGCCAGUACGACCCUGAGGAAUGUUUCCUCUUGAAUGUAACUGUGGCCGUUGGACAAAAAGUGCCUGUGAGGCCAUCCCCCAAGGUCCAGGUGCCGACAGUCAGGAAAUACGCCAAGAUGGCCUUAGCCUCCUCCAGCCCCGAGAAGCAGAUCCUGAAGAAGGAACGGGACAUGGAGACCUUGAUCCUGACCCCCCCGCCUGGCACGGCGGACCUCGACAAGGAGGGGGAGGAAGGGCGGAAGGCCCGGGAGGUCUGCUUCAUCAACAUCCAGCGGGAGCUGCGGAUCCGAGGCGUCUUCCUGCGCCAUGAGUUCCCCAAAAUCUACGAGCAGCUGUGUGACUUUGUGGAGAGCAACAAGAGGUUCACGCCCACCACCAUCUACCCCAUUGACAGGCGGACCGGAAAGCAGUUCAUGUGCAUGAUCAUGGCCGCCUCUGAGCCACGGACCCUGGACUGGGUCGCCAGCCCCAACCUCCUGGACGACCUCAUGUGACCAGCGCUGCCGCACCACACAGGCCUCCUGUUUAGUCCCCUUUGUAGACAGGGCUUGAGUUCUGAGCCAGGGCAGCCCCACCUUUUGGGGCUGCCUCAGCCAACAAGAGAAGGGGGCACAAGUUCUGCCUCAUUUACAAUGCAAAGGUGAAGUGAGCAGCAAGAGGGGAGCAGUGCAGAGACGCCGAUCAGCUGCCAAACACUGGACACGAGGAGCUGAGACCAAAUUCCUGCAUUCCCAGCCCAUACCCUCAGCUGCCCUAGUCAGCAUCCAUGUCAAGUGAGAGACGCUGACUUACACCAGACGAGGAUCUGCCCCAGGGAACACCAUGUGCCCAUUGCUGUGUUACAGGUGCACUGGGGAGGUUCACCUAGGCAGUGGUUCCCAAACGUUAGCAAACCAAGGGCCCCCCAAGCCACCCACUCAGCCCCGGGCCCCGCCUCCACUCCAUCCCUUCCCCCAAGGCCCCCUGCCUCUUUCCACCCUCUCCCCCAAGCAUGCCCGUCCUCGCUCCUCCCCCUUCCUCCCAGGCCCUCCUGCAGGCCAUGGAACAGGAGGCACUGAGAGGGGCGGAGGACCCACAGGAGUGCCCUCGCAGACCCCUUUGAGAAACGCUGACCUAGAGGGAAUCCUAAAGCUUUCCCUCUCCAUGCUGUUGGCUUCCCUUCAGCACAGGCCGUGCAACCCACGGGUCAGGGUCAGUUUCCAUGCUCUAGCUGAGGGCUGUUGUGUUUGGGUUGCCAAGGAAGUGUGCCAGCCUUUAGAGACCAGUCCGUUUUGUUGUCUUUCCUGGGACCGCCCAGUCCUCUGCCAUCUCAUCAAUGCUCAUUUCUUACCAGCCCUUCUUUUGCGGCCAAGUUUGACUCUGACCCUUUCAACUCCCUGGGGUUCAUGCUGGGGCUGUUAGGGUUUGACCCCCGAAGCUUGGAGCCACAGGUGGCCUUGGAUCUGUGCCUGGAGCCUCCCUGGAGGUGAAGGGGGGGGUGUUGUUGUAAACUGGGGGGUAUAAGCCCCAUUUGCUGAUGUGUUACUGGCCAUGUGAAAUGGAGAAGGGAGUUUGAGAACUGACCUUUCCCCUGGACAAUUCUGUUACCCACUCGAGGCACUUCCAUGGGCUCAAGAUGUAACACCGGCACCCCCACCCUUGCCCAGUUCCCAAUGCUCGGGGCGAAAGGCAGGGGUGGCUCUAGCUUUUUUGCUGCCCCAAGCACGGCAGGCAGGCUGCCUUCGGCGGUGCGCCUGUGGGAGGUCCCCAGUCCCGCGGAUUCGGCGGCGUGCCUGCGGGA